UACGUAGGGGGCAAGCGUUGUCCGGAUUUAUUGGGCGUAAAGAGCGUGUAGGCGGUCCGGUAAGUCCGUUGUGAAAGUCAGGGGCUCAACCCUUGAAUGCCGGCGGAUACUGUCGGGCUAGAGUCCGGAAGAGGCGAGUGGAAUUCCCGGUGUAGCGGUGAAAUGCGCAGAUAUCGGGAAGAACACCCGUGGCGAAGGCGGUUCUCUGGGACGGUACUGACGCUGAGACGCGAAAGCGUGGGGAGCGAACAGG
rnacentral:rRNA from 1 species